rnacentral:rRNA from 1 species
GGGGCAGCGGUGACAGGUGGUGCAUGGUUGUCGUCAGCUCGUGUCGUGAGAUGUUGGGUUAAGUCCCGCAACGAGCGCAACCCUUAUCUUUAGUUGCCAGCAUUCAGUUGGGCACUCUAGAGAGACUGCCGUCGACAAGACGGAGGAAGGCGGGGAUGACGUCAAAUCAUCAUGCCCCUUAUGACCUGGGCUACACACGUGCUACAAUGGUUGGUACAACGGGAUGCUACCUCGCGAGAGGAUGCCAAUCUCUUAAAACCAAUCUCAGUUCGGAUUGUAGGCUGCAACUCGCCUACAUGAAGUCGGAAUCGCUAGUAAUCGCGGAUCAGCAUGCCGCGGUGAAUACGUUCCCGGGCCUUGUACACACCGCCCGUCACACCACGGGAGUUUGCAACACCCGAAG